GACGGGACCGCACAAGCAGCGGAGCGUGUGGUUUAAUUCGAUGCUACACGAAGAACCUUACCAGGGUUUGACAUGCAAGUGGUAGGAAUCUGAAAAGUGACCGACCCUUCGGGGAGCUUGCACAGGUGCUGCAUGGCUGUCGUCAGCUCGUGUCGUGAGAUGUUCGGUUAAGUCCGCUAACGAGCGCAACCCUCACUGUGUGUUAUACGUGUCACACGGGACUGCCGGUUUUAAGCCGGAGGAAGGCGGGGAUGACGUCAAGUCAGCAUGGCCUUUAUAUCCUGGGCUACACACACGCUACAAUGGUCUGUACAAUGGGUUGCCAAGCCGCGAGGCGGAGCCAAUCCUUAAAGCAGGCCUCAGUUCAGAUUGUAGGCUGCAACUCGCCUACAUGAAGAUGGAGUUGCUAGUAACCGCAGGUCAGCAAUACUGCGGUGAAUACGUCCCCGGGUCUU
rnacentral:rRNA from 1 species